rnacentral:rRNA from 1 species
GAUGAACGCUAGCGGCAGGCCUAAUACAUGCAAGUCGAACGGGAUCUGAGGGUAGCUUGCUACCCGAUUUGAGAGUGGCGCACGGGUGCGUAACGCGUGAGCAACCUACCCAUAUCAGGGGGAUAGCCCGAAGAAAUUCGGAUUAACACCGCACAGUAAUACGCUAACACAUGUUAAUGUAUUUAAAUAUUUAUAGGAUAUGGAUGGGCUCGCGUGACAUUAGCUAGUUGGUAAGGUAACGGCUUACCAAGGCGACGAUGUCUAGGGGCUCUGAGAGGAGAAUCCCCCACACUGGUACUGAGACACGGACCAGACUCCUACGGGAGGCAGCAGUAAGGAAUAUUGGUCAAUGGGCGCAAGCCUGAACCAGCCAUGCCGCGUGCAGGAUGACUGCCCUAUGGGUUGUAAACUGCUUUUGUUAGGGAAUAAACCUACUUAUGUAUAAGUAGCUGAAUGUACCUAAAGAAUAAGGAUCGGCUACUCCGUGCCAGCCGCCGCCGUAA